GAUUAACGCUGGCGGCGUGCAUAACACAUGCAAGUCGAACGAUGAAACUUAAAUGAUUUCUUCGGAAUGAACUUAAGUGGAUUAGUGGCGGACGGGUGAGUAACGCGUGAGUAACCUGCCUUACACAAGGGGAUAGCCGUUGGAAACGACGAAUAAUACCCUAUGAAACUAUCACUUCGCAUGAAGCGAUAGUCAAAGUGUUAGCGGUGUAAGAUGGACUUGCGUCUGAUUAGCUAGUUGGUGAGAAAAAAGCCCACCAAGGCAACUAUCAGUAGCCGGCUUGAGAGAGUGUACGGCCACAUUGGGACUGAGACACGGCCCAGACUCCUACGGGAGGCAGCAGUGGGGAAUUUUGCACAAUGGGGGAAACCCUGAUGCAGCGACGCCGCGUGAUUUAGAAGGCCUUCGGGUUGUAAAAAUCUUUUGUAUAGGAAGAAAAUGACAGUACUAUACGAAUAAGGUCCGGCUAAUUACGUG
rnacentral:rRNA from 1 species